AUUCCGCGGUGUCGGCUGCGGCGGCAGUGGUGGUGGCGGGUACCGCACGGGGUAUGGUCCCCGGGUCCGAGGGCCCGGCCCGCGCCGGGAGCGUGGUGGCCGACGUGGUGUUUGUGAUUGAGGGUACGGCCAACCUGGGACCCUACUUCGAGGGGCUCCGCAAGCACUACCUGCUCCCGGCCAUCGAGUAUUUUAAUGGUGGUCCUCCUGCUGAGACUGACUUCGGGGGAGACUAUGGGGGGACCCAGUACAGCCUCGUGGUGUUCAACACAGUGGACUGCGCUCCCGAGUCCUACGUACAAUGUCACGCUCCCACCAGCAGCGCCUAUGAGUUUGUCACCUGGCUCGAUGGCAUUAAGUGAGCUUUCCCCCACUUGGGGUGGGUUGGGGGGCCCUGUGAGGGGCCGUGAAUGAGGGAUGGCUUGGGGUGGUUGGUGUCCCCGUGAGGGGCUGUGAAUAAGUGAUGGCUUGGGGUGGUUGGGGUCCCUGCGAGGGGCUGUGAAUGAGUGAUGGCUUGGGUUUGAGCUGCAGGAAACAUCCUAUGCAUUAAGCGAUUGAAAGGACUUUGAAAGUGAUUGUGUUUUUGUCAGAAGUCACUUUUGUGGUGGCUUCUGUGUGCUCAGCAAUGUUGCCAUCCAGUUUAGAAGCAGGAAAAACUUCCCAUUCAGGGAGGCCUGGCUGAGCUCCAGCAGCCACCUUGUACUCCCUGUGUGAUUGUCCCCUUUCUGUCCUCUCUUUUUCCAUCUACCCCUGUCCUCCUUUUCCAGAUGGGUACAUUGUAGCCUCAGUGCAGGGGGAUGGGUCAGAGCCAGGAUAGAUCCCUCUGUGGCUUGGGUCAGAUUUUUUUUUUUUUUUUUUUGAAGCAGAGUCUUGCUCUGUCUCCGAGGCUGGAGUGCAGUGGCACAGUCUUGGCUCACUGCAACCUGUACCUCCCGGAUUGAAGCGAUUCUUCUGCCUCAGCCUCCC
rnacentral:sRNA from 1 species